UCGAACCGACGAAACGCUGGGCCGCCUGCAGCGGAGCGCGCGAACUUAACCACUCGGCCACGGGGCCAGCCCCGCUAAUGUGGAAUAUUUGUAGACUGAGGUAUGUUUUCAAAGUCCAGAGGAUUAUCAGGAGUUGGGGAAUUAGAGCCCAGGGUCUUUAAAUGCUUAUCUUUUUAUUUUUGAACUUAAAGCUGAUAUUUGAAUAGAUGGAAAAUAUGAGUGAUGAAAAUCUUUGAUCAUCUUAAUGGUAGAUGUCUUUAAAGUGUAAAUUAACUGCUAAUUUAAUUCACUGUAAUGCUAUGUGAAGUGAUGUGUUUUUACUUAAAAACUUGUAAUUUUGAUGAAAAUAUGCAAAUUUUUAACUACAUGUAACCUUCUGGUUAUAUUAUUGUGCCUUUUAACACAGUUCUUGCAUAAUACCAAACUUUUUUUCAUUAAAACAUUUUAUUUAUUAUUUUCAAUUACAUUAAAAUAAAAACUAGAGAGAAACCAGAAAUUUUAUUACUUACACAGUUGUCUAUUUUAUGACCACAAAUUUCAGGAUGAUUAUACAAUUAUUUUUCAUGUAUUUCUGAAUUAGGUAAAUAUUUCACCUCUUCAUAGAAAGUAGGUUAAACCACAGGAAAUAAGUAACGGCCGGAAACUUUGUUGUGAAUAUCUGAGAACAACAGGUGCUACUAAAUUAUGAGCCUCCAGAGGGUGAAAGGUACACGGUUCUGUCACGUAGAGAGCACCGUUCAGGCAUUUGAAAAGAAGGAACUUUUGUUUAUGUUACCUAAGUGAGAUGUGGUGAUGCUGAGCUACUCCUGUGACAGACCGCAGAAAAUGAGGACCCCGUGCACCUGUCUUCCUGGGUCUUGAACCAACAGAAACUUGUUACAGCAGCUACCGACUCUCCUCACAAGACCCCUGACGCUGCACUCUUAGUUCCUUCUUCAGUGUUUCCUGACAUUGUAGUGUUUUGUUUAAAUUUACAGGUCCGUAUUAUUCUUUCAGUAGCUUUUAGAUUGUUAAGACCAUGUUUAUGCUUGCUAAUUUGAGAGGAAAAGUCUUGGAAAAUCUCCUGAGUUGGCUUUCCAUUUCUACCACCCUUAUAACAAAUAUUACUUCUUGUUUUCGGUUUCUAUCCUGUUAGUGUUUAACACCGUAGCUUUCACAUUUUGCUUCCUGGUACUUAGCAGAUAAAAUGUAAAGUCAGUUUAGGGGGCUGUCCCUAGGGACACAAGCCAUCCAGCUCCAGAGGAAUGCUGUCCCUCCUUUCAACUCCUUUAUCACUGUUCUUUCUACUCAUUACAUACUGGGCUUCUCUGAAAACCAUUUUUUCAAGAAUUCGCCAAACUUCUGGGCCAGAACAGUAGGAUUAAGGGAUGCUGACACUUAAAGUCCAGAGGCUCUCUCUGUGGUCCCUGGGCCCAAUAGCAUCCAUAUUAGCUGGGAACUUAUCACAAAUGCAUGUUCUUAGGCCUCACCCUAGAUCUACUUACUCAAAAACUCUGGGCUUGGGGUCCAGCAGUCUGUAUUAACAAACCAGGCAGAGGAUAUGCAUGCUAAGUUUAAGAAGCACUGUCUAAGAUUUCUGCUAUUGGUGUUAGCACUUAGCAUACAUUUCACCUUCUUAUCCUUCUGCACAAAUAUUAUUAUCUAUGUAAGACAGUUCGGUAUAUUAUUUUAAAUAGUUAUUGUGUAUGAUAUGUGUUAUGUGUAUAUACAUAUCACCAUAUAUUUUUCUUGAUUUUGUGUAUUAAUUUAAAAAACACAAAGAGCACCAUUUCUGCCAUUGUCUCCUCCAGAUUUUGACAUGGAAACAAAGAAAAUCACAUAAUAAUGAAGACAGAAGUAGACCAGGGAGGGACUCGGUGGAGCUGGAGACUGAGGGACAAGGAGUGGGAAGGAG